UACGAAGGGGGCUAGCGUUGUUCGGAAUUACUGGGCGUAAAGCGCGCGCAGGCGGCUAUCCAAGUCAGUGGUGAAAGCCCGGAGCUCAACUCCGGAACUGCCAUUGAAACUGUUUAGCUUGAGGAUGAGAGAGGUGAGUGGAAUUCCCAGUGUAGAGGUGAAAUUCGUAGAUAUUGGGAAGAACACCGGUGGCGAAGGCGGCUACCUGGACCGGUUCUGACGCUGAUGCGCGAAAGCGUGGGUAGCAAACAGG
rnacentral:rRNA from 1 species